GACGAACGCUGGCGGCGUGCUUAACACAUGCAAGUCGAACGAUGAAGCCGGAGCUUGCUCUGGUGAAUUAGUGGCGAACGGGUGAGUAACACGUGAGUAACCUGCCCUUGACUCUGGGAUAACUGCGGGAAACUGUAGCUAAUACCGGAUACGACCCUCGGAGGCAUCUCCUGGGGGUGGAAAGAAUUUCGGUCAAGGAUGGACUCGCGGCCUAUCAGCUAGUUGGUGAGGUAAAGGCUCACCAAGGCGACGACGGGUAGCCGGCCUGAGAGGGGGACGGGCAAGAAUGGGACUGAGACACGGCCCAGACUCCUACGGGAGGCAGCAGUGGGGAAGAUUGCACAAUGGGCGCAAGCCUGAUGCAGCAACGCCGCGUGAGGGGUGACGGCCUUCGGGUUGUAAACCUCUUUUAGCAGGGAAGAAGCGAAAGUGACGGUACCUGCAGAAAAAGCACCGGCUAACUACGUGCCAGCCGCCGCCGUAA
rnacentral:rRNA from 1 species